rnacentral:rRNA from 1 species
GGAAUAUUGCGCAAUGGGCGAAAGCCUGACGCAGCAACGCCGCGUGAGGGAUGAAGGCUCUCGGGUUGUAAACCUCUUUCAGCAGGGACGAAUUCAGACGGUACCUGCAGAAGAAGCCCCGGCCAACUACGUGCCAGCAGCCGCGGUAACCCGUAGGGGGCGAGCGUUGUCCGGAUUUAUUGGGCGUAAAGAGCUCGUAGGCGGUUCGAUAAGUCGGGUGUGAAAACUCUGGGCUCAACUCAGAGACGCCACCCGAUACUGUUGUGACUUGAGUCCGGUAGGGGAGUAUGGAAUUCCCGGUGUAGCGGUGAAAUGCGCAGAUAUCGGGAGGAACACCAGUGGCGAAGGCGGUACUCUGGGCCGGAACUGACGCUGAGGAGCGAAAGCGUGGGUAGCGAA